GACGAACGCUGGCGGCGUGCUUAACACAUGCAAGUCGAACGCGCCUGUCCUCUGGGUUUCUGGGGGGUGGGUGAGUGGCGAACGGGUGAGUAACACGUGAGUAACCUGCCCCCUUCUUCGGGAUAACGGUCUGAAAGGGCUGCUAAUACCGGGUAUUCACUGGUCUCCGCAUGGGGUCUGGUGGAAAGGUUUUUUUCUGGUGGGGGAUGGGCUCGCGGCCUAUCAGCUUGUUGGUGGGGUGAUGGCCCACCAAGGCUUUGCCGGGUAGCCGGCCUGAGAGGGUGACCGGUCACAUUGGGACUGAGAUACGGCCCAGACUCCUACGGGAGGCAGCAGUGGGGAAUAUUGCACAAUGGGCGCAAGCCUGAUGCAGCGACGCCGCGUGAGGGAUGGCGGCCUUCGGGUUGUGAACCUCUUUCGCCCGUGGUCAAGCCGCGACGUGGGUCGUGGUGAGGGUAGUGGGUAAAGAAGCGCCGGCUAACUACGUG
rnacentral:rRNA from 1 species